rnacentral:hammerhead_ribozyme from 1 species
AUUCAGCUGACGAGUCUCAAAUAGGACGAAAUGCGCAUCCUGGAU